GUUGUCCCUUUGAGAUGAAGGGCAAUAAGAUUCUGAAAACCAAUAAAGGGAUUGGGUGGUUUGAAGACACAGUUAGAAAGUUCCAAAUAUGUCAAGGUUGAACAAUUAAAAAUAGAUAAGGGCAGAGUAUAGGUAUCAUCAUUUGAAGUGCGAAGAGUUAGCAUCUUGACUCCAUUUCUAGUGACAUAAAGAAUCCAUCUAUCGAUAAUUGCAUAUGAAGAUUUUGCAGUAA
rnacentral:misc_RNA from 1 species